GAUGAACGCUGACAGAAUGCUUAACACAUCAGCAAUUGAUUGGUGGCGGACGGGUGGGUAACGCGUAUAGAACUUGCCUCCCAGGUAGGGACCACAUUUGGAAACGAAUGCUAAUACCUAAUCCUGUGAGAGAGCUUUGCGUCCCAUUAGCUAGUUGGCGAGGUAACGGCUCACCAAGGCGAUGAUGGGUAGCCGGCCUGGGAGGGUGAUCGGCCACAAGGGGACUGAGGAACGGCCCGUGCUCCUACUGGAGGCAGCAGUGGGGAAUAUUGGACAAUGGACCAAAGUCUGAUCCAGCACUUCUGGGUGCACGAUGCAGUUUUCGGAAUGUAAAGUGUUUUCAGUUGGGAAGCGGUACCAACAGAAGAAGUGACGGCUAAAUCCGUGCCAGCAGCCGCGGUAAUAC
rnacentral:rRNA from 1 species